UUUUUUUUUUUUUGAGACGGAGUCUCGCUCUGUCACCCAGGCUGGAGUGCAGUGGCCAGAUCUCAGCUCACUGCAAGCUCCGCCUCCCGGGUUCACGCCAUUCUCCUGCCUCAGCCUCCGGAGUAGCUAGGACUACAGGCACCCGCCACCUCGCCCGGCUAGUUUUUCGUAUUUUUUAGUAGAGACGGGGUUUCACUGUGUUAGCCAGGAUGGUCUCGAUCUCCUGACCUCGUGAUCCGCCCGUCUCGGCCUCCCAAAGUGCUGGGAUUACAGGCUUGAGCCACCGCGCCCGGCCUAUUGUUAUUAUUAUUAAUUUUUUUAGAGGGAGUUUCGCUCUUGUUGCCCAGGCUGGAGUACAAUGGCGCGAUCUUGGCUCACUGCAACCUCCGCCUCCAGGGUUCAAGCGAUUCUCCCGCCGAGUAGCUGGAAUUACAGGCAUGCGCCACCAUACCCGGUUAAUUUUGUAUUUUUAGUAGAGACAAGGUUUCUCCAUGUUGGUCAGGCUGGUCUCCAACUCCUGACCUCGUGAUCAGCCCGCCCCGGUCUCCCAAAGUGCUGGGAUCACAGGCGUGAGCCACCGCGCGCGGCCCUAUUUUAUUUAUUUAUUUAGAGACGAGUCUCGCACUGUCACCGGGGUGGAGUGCAAUGGCGCGAUCUCGGCUCAUUGUAACCUCUGCCUCCCUGGUUCACGCGAUUCUCAUGUCUCAGCCUCCCGAGUAGUGGGAUUAUAGGUGCCCACCACCACACCCGACUAAUUUUUUGUAUUUUCGGUAGAGACGGAGUUUCACUAUGUUGGCCAGACUGGUCUCCAACUCCUAAUCUCGUGAUCCGCCCGUCUCGGACUCCCAAAGUGCUGGGAUUACAGGCAUGAGCCACUGCGCCCGGCCAGGACCAAGACUUUCUCAUCCUCGGAUGGUUGGGGAUGGGGGCUGGUGUGCUGCCUCUGAGAGCAAAUAAGAGGGUGGAGAGGGGAGGGGGUCAAGACACAGGGACACCUUAAAGAGCAGGGAAAGCUGAUCAAGAGGACACCUGGAGGAAGGGCCCUUCCAGAGCGGCCUGCGGAUUCCCUCAUGACUGGUUAGGCCAGGGAGCUGGCGCUCAAAGGGCCGACGGGGCGUUCCCUCCCACCUGGCACAGCAAGACAGCGCCGGGCCUCUGACUCUCUGCGGAUCCGGGUGUCCCUCCUGCUCCGUCCUCCUCCCACCCGCACCUCCAGAUCUUUCCCCACCUCAAGGCAUGGCUGCCUUCUGCCGGGCUGUAGGAAGGGCGCCACCUGGGAUUCCAAAAACCCCACAGAGGCAGGCACCCUUCCCCAGCCUGAAGCACCCCUGCGAGUCUGGCUUCUCCUGCAGGGCGAACAGCGUUUCUUACACUUUUCCCGCCAGAAUAGCCAGGCAAUAGCUGGGAGGCCCCCAGGCGCGCAGAGUCGCAGAGCGCGGAGACACAAACGGAACUCAACCCCGCGCGGGCAGGAUCGGUGGCGUACGCGUAGUUCUCACGGGCACGGGGGAUCUGAGAGGGACCUGGGGCUCUGAGCCUGACCUCACGCUCUCAAAUAAUCCCUCCCAACUCCCUCACCCCGCCCUGCUGCUUUCUCCAAGGCCCCUUUUCGGUUUAUCUCCACUUCCUUACUAACAGCGGGGACGGGAUUGGGGAGCACGGAGUCGUCCCCC
rnacentral:lncRNA from 1 species